CCUACGGGUGCCAGCAGUGAGGAAUAUUGGUCAAUGGACGAGAGUCUGAACCAGCCAAGUAGCGUGAAGGAUGACUGCCCUAUGGGUUGUAAACUUCUUUUAUAUGGGAAUAAAACGUUCCACGUGUGGGAUUUUGUAUGUACCAUAUGAAUAAGGAUCGGCUAACUCCGUGCCAGCAGCCGCGGUAAUACGGAGGAUCCGAGCGUUAUCCGGAUUUAUUGGGUUUAAAGGGAGCGUAGGUGGAUUGUUAAGUCAGUUGUGAAAGUUUGCGGCUCAACCGUAAAAUUGCAGUUGAAACUGGCAGUCUUGAGUACAGUAGAGGUGGGCGGAAUUCGUGGUGUAGCGGUGAAAUGCUUAGAUAUCACGAAGAACUCCGAUUGCGAAGGCAGUUCACUGGACUGCAACUGACACUGAGGCUCGAAAGUGUGGGUAUCAAACAGGAUUAGAUACCCUUGUAGUC
rnacentral:rRNA from 1 species